rnacentral:rRNA from 1 species
CCUACGCGAGGCAGCAGUGGGGGAUAUUGCACAAUGGGGGAAACCCUGAUGCAGCGACGCCGCGUGUGGGAAGACGGUCCUCUGGAUUGUAAACCACUGUCGCCAGGGACGAAGAUGACGGUACCUGGGGAGGACGCUCCGGCUAACUACGUGCCAGCACCCGCGGUAUUACGUGGGGAGCGGGCGUUGUCGGGAAUUACUGGGUGUAAAGGGAGGGUGGGCGGGGAUGCAAGUUGGGGGUAAAAACUACCGGCUAAACUGGUAGUCGCACUCAAAACUGCAGCGCUGGAGUGAAGUAGAGGCAGGCGGAAUUCCUAGUGUAGCGGUGAAAUGCGUAGAUAUUAGGAGGAACACCAGUGGCGAAGGCGGCCUGCUGGACUUUGACUGACGCUGAGGCUCGAAAGUGUGGGGAGCAAACAGGAUUAGAUACCCUUGUAGUC